GGGCCGGUAGAUCAGUGGUAUGAUCGCCGCGUUCGCAACGCGGAAGUCGCGGGUUCAAAUCCCGCUCGGUCCACCA
rnacentral:tRNA from 1 species